CUACGUGCCAGCAGCCGCGGUCAUACGUAGGAUCCGAGCGUUAUCCGGAGUGACUGGGCGUAAAGAGUUGCGUAGGUGGUUGUAUAAGUGAAUAGUGAAAUCUGGUGGCUCAACCAUACAGGCUAUUAUUCAAACUGUACAACUCGAGAAUGGUAGAGGUCACUGGAAUUUCUUGUGUAGGAGUGAAAUCCGUAGAUAUAAGAAGGAACACCGAUGGCGUAGGCAGGUGACUGGACCAUUUCUGACACUAAGGCACGAAAGCGUGGGGAGCGAACCGGAUUAGAUACCCGGGUAGUCCACGCCGUAAACGAUGGAUACUGGCUGUUGGAGGUGUCGACCCCUUCAGUAGCGAAGCUAACGCGUUAAGUAUCCCGCCUGUGGAGUACGGCCGCAAGGCUAAAACAUAAAGGAAUUGACGGGGACCCGCACAAGCGGUGGAUCGUGUUCUUUAAUUCGAUGCUAAACGAAGAACCUUACCAGGGCUUGACAUCCAG
rnacentral:rRNA from 1 species